AGAUGUGGUGAUCCCACCCAACUAGGGGCGUGGAAGUAUGUGUGUUGGGAGUACAAUGCUCUCAUUUUGGGUUUGAAUGACUGUUUUGUAUAACCAGUCUCAAGCCUUGGAAACUUGUAAACCCUUGGAGGUCACGUGCCAUUGCCUGCCUAAUCUGUCGGAUCUGCUUCUACAGCUAUCUGUGAUCAGGCACGUGACCAGGCCUAGAGCUUCUACCUAGACUCUGUUUUCUCAGCCAACCUAUGUGGCUCCCGAGAAGGUUCUGGAUAUGUCUAGUGGUUAUGGCUAUGUGCAUGAAGUUCAAGUUUUGUUUUCUGGUUCAGAUAAACAAAUCUUUGUUUAUGUUGUAAAUAGGGCUAAAUCCCUUUUCUCUAAUUCGUAUAUAUAUGAUAACAUAAGAAUGA